rnacentral:rRNA from 1 species
UACGUAGGGACCAAGCGUUGUUCGGAUUUACUGGGCGUAAAGGGCGCGUAGGCGGCGUGACAAGUCACUUGUGAAAUCUCUGGGCUUAACCCAGAACGGCCAAGUGAAACUGUUGUGCUAGAGUGCAGAAGGGGCAAUCGGAAUUCUCGGUGUAGCGGUGAAAUGCGUAGAUAUCGAGAGGAACACCAGAGGUGAAGACGGGUUGCUGGGCUGACACUGACGCUGAGGCGCGAAGGCCAGGGGAGCAAACGGG